GAUGAAGAACGUAGCGAAAUGCGAUACGUAAUGUGAAUUGCAGAAUUCAGUGAAUCAUCGAAUCUUUGAACGCAUAUUGCGCUCUCUGGUAUUCCGGAGAGCAUGCUUGUUUGAGUAUCAGUAAACACCUCAACUUCCAUAUCUUUUUUGAAAUGGGAGUUGGACUUGAGUGAUCCCAACGCUUUUCCUCACCGAAAAGUGGCGGGUUACUUGAAAUGCAGGUGCAGCUGGACUUUUCUCUGAGCUAUAAGCAUAUCUAUUUAGUCUGCCUAAAAAACAGAUUAUUACCUUUGCUGCAGCUAACAUAAAGGAGAUUAGUUCUUGUGCUGACUGAUGCAGGAUUCACAAAGACGGCUUCGGCCGACUUUGUACACUCGAUCUCAAAUCAAGUAAGACUACCCGCUGAACUUAAGCAUAUCAAUAAGCGGAGGA
rnacentral:misc_RNA from 1 species